UGGGGAAUAUUGCACAAUGGGCGCAAGCCUGAUGCAGCCAUGCCGCGUGUGUGAAGAAGGCCUUCGGGUUGUAAAGCACUUUCAGCGAGGAGGAAGGGUAGUGUGUUAAUAGCACAUUGCAUUGACGCUACUCGCAGAAGAAGCACCGGCUAACUCCGUGCCAGCAGCCGCGGUAAUACGGAGGGUGCAAGCGUUAAUCGGAAUUACUGGGCGUAAAGCGCACGCAGGCGGUUUGUUAAGUCAGAUGUGAAAUCCCCGCGCUUAACGUGGGAACUGCAUUUGAAACUGGCAAGCUAGAGUCUUGUAGAGGGGGGUAGAAUUCCAGGUGUAGCGGUGAAAUGCGUAGAGAUCUGGAGGAAUACCGGUGGCGAAGGCGGCCCCCUGGACAAAGACUGACGCUCAGGUGCGAAAGCGUGGGGAGCAAACA
rnacentral:rRNA from 1 species